rnacentral:miRNA from 1 species
AGAUGAUGGAGAUGAUGAUGAUGAUGAUGGAGAUGACAAAAUAAUAAUUAUUAUUAUCGUCUCCAACAUCAUCAUCAUCCUGAUGG